UACGUAGGGGGCAAGCGUUGUCCGGAUUUACUGGGCGUAAAGGGCUCGUAGGUGGCCAACUAAGUCAGACGUGAAAUCCCUCAGCUUAACUGGGGAACUGCGUCUGAUACUGGAUGGCUUGAGAUUGGGAGAGGGAUGCGGAAUUCCAGGUGUAGCGGUGAAAUGCGUAGAUAUCUGGAGGAACACCGGUGGCGAAGGCGGCAUCCUGGACCAACACUGACGCUGAGGAGCGAAAGCCAGGGGAGCAAACGGG
rnacentral:rRNA from 1 species